GUCGUGGGGCGGCUGCACCCAGGUGAGUGGCUUGCAGUUCCUGGAGCCUUGCAGGUUGUUGGAGAGUCAGGGAGCCUUUCUUCCUCCCACCUGCCCUCUUGCACUUCCUCUCCCACAACCCAGGGCUACUCCCAGAGGCUCUGAACUGGAGCCCUAGAAGGAGGCGCUGCAAGGCUCAGUGCUCCUGGAGCUUCGAGUCUAUGAUAUGAGUUAGGGUGUCUCCUCCAUCAGUUCUACAGGAGGGUGUCUCCUCCUUCAGACCUGGAACUUCCAAGGCAUUUUACCCAAAGCUCCAGCACCUGACCCAAGGCUGGGCUGUGCUCUGUCCUCAGUGAAAGAAUGGAUGAGUCAUAACUGAGUGAUUGGAGAGAGCUGAACGAGGUCCAGGAAGACUCAGGCACUGGAGUCUGUAUUUCCUGAGUCCGCCUCUCACUGCUGGAGCUGUUUAUCAUCGCUCCAACUUUCACUAAAAAGGAAAAACUAUCACUUAAACAAAGCCAUUGAAAACCCAGCAUCAUAUGUGGAUUUUUUAACAUAAAUAAAUCAUACAAACUAAGA